rnacentral:lncRNA from 1 species
CCUGAGUGCUGCUGCCAACCAUGUUCAACCUUUCAUGGAAACAGGAUCCCUGAGGUCUUUCAGCAGGAUGAUUCUCCUGAGGAAUGGAGCACAGCUACCUGCUGACCUCUCACCCUAGUGAUCCGACCAUUUUCUUUUAAAAAUAAGGCCCAAACACAGUGCAACCUCGCUCUUUUUGUUGUCGUGGAAACCGGUCCUAAAUUCCCCAGCUUCUUCGGAAGCUCAUGCUGUCAUAACCUGAAGUGUCUGAUGGAGUUCACUAAAUAAAUCAUGACGGUUGCUUUAUUUACAGGGGGAAGCACACAAAGAACACGAAGGCAGCCCUCCAGGACUGCAUGGCACUCAGGGAACGGCGCGGCCCUCCAGGGCACAGGGAGCGGGCGCGGCCCUCCAGGGCACAGGGAGCGGGAGCGGCCCUCCAGGGCACAGGGAGCGGCCCCUUCAGGGCACAGGGAGCGGGCGCGGCCCUCCAGGGCACAGGGAGCGGGCGCGGCCCUCCAGGGCACAGGGAGCGGGAGCGGCCCUCCAGGGCACAGGGAGCGGGCGCGGCCCUCCAGGGCACAGGGAGCGGGCGCGGCCUUUCAGGGCACAGGGAGCGGGCGCGGCGCAGCCCUCCAGGGCACAGGGAGCGGCCCUUCAGGGCACAGGGAGCGGGCGCGGCCCUCCAGGGCACAGGGAGCGGGCGCGGCCUUUCAGGGCACAGGGAGCGGGCGCGGCGCGCCCUUCAGGGCACAGGGAGCGCCGGCCCUCCAGGGCACAGGGCGGGCGCGGCCUUUCAGGGCACAGGGAGCGGGCGCGGCCCUCCAGGGCACAGGGAGCGGCCCUUCAGGGCACAGGGAGCGGGCGCGGCCCUCCAGGGCACAGGGAGCGGCCCUUCAGGGCACAGGGAGCGGGCGCAGCCCUCCAGGGCACAGGGAGCGGGCGCGGCCCUCCAGGGCACAGGGAGCGGGCGCGGCCCUCCAGGGCACAGGGAGCGGCCCUUCAGGGCACAGGGAGCGGGCGCGGCCCUCCAGGGCACGGGAGCGGGCGCGGCCCUCCAGGGCACAGGGAGCGGGCGCGGCCCUCCAGGGCACAGGGAGCGGCCCUUCAGGGCACAGGGAGCGGGCGCGGCCCUCCAGGGCACAGGGAGCGGGCGCGGCCCUUCAGGGCACAGGGAGCGGGAGCAGCCCUCCAGGGAACACGGAGCAGGAGCGGCCCUCCAGGGAACACAGAAACAUCAGGGAACCGAAGCAGUCCUCUCUGCCCUUCUCAGGUCUACCGGUGAGUCCUCCACCAUCAGCAGUCCUACUGGACUCAGGAGUCCGGCGUGGCACGCUCGCCAGUCCAGCAAAUGGCAUGAAGAC